rnacentral:lncRNA from 1 species
GUAAUUUCACAUGUUAAUGCAUGUUCUAUGAUCGUGCAUGAACUUGUUAAUUUGCAUGUGUAAUUUAGAUGAAAUAAAUAUUGAUAUGUGAUGCAAUAUGGUAGAAAAAUGAUUAAGCAUGAAAUGAUGAACAGACAUGAGAAACAUGUAUUAAUAUUGGCAUGCAUAAUGUAUAAAGUGUUUCGUUAGACUUUUUAUCUCUGAGGGAUUUCUAUUUCUCCCCCAUCUGGUCUGAAAAAACGUGAGAGGAUCGCUCCCAGUGGAUGACAGCAUACCC